UACAGAGACUGCAAGCGUUGUUCGGAAUCACUGGGCGUAAAGCGCACGCAGGCGGAUUGAUAAGUCAGGGGUGAAAGCCCAGGGCUCAACCCUGGAAUUGCCUUUAAGACUGCAUCGCUUGAACAUCGGAGAGGUAAGUGGAAUUCCGAGUGUAGAGGUGAAAUUCGUAGAUAUUCGGAAGAACACCAGUGGCGAAGGCGACUUACUGGACGAUUGUUGACGCUGAGGUGCGAAAGCGUGGGGAGCAAACAGG
rnacentral:rRNA from 1 species